CACAAGCAGAGCAGGACCUGUUACUCGAAGGAUAUGAAGAAUUUCAAGAGUUAAUAUGUACAAGGGGUAACACUGCAAAAGCAGCUCAGACUAGAAAUGAUGGCUGGCAAAAAGUGGCCGACAAAUUAAACGUAUCAAACGUGAGCACAAGGAGAACAUGGGAACAGGUCAAAGUGAAGUACAAGAAUAUACUUCAAACUGCUAAUAAGAAGAAGGCAGACAAGCAAAAAACAGGUGGAGGUCCACACUGUACAGACCUAACCCCUGCAGAAGAGUUGGCUCUCCAGAAAAAUGCCCAUUGCCCGGUUUCUGAGGGCAUUCCAGGGGGAAGCUCCUCCUCAGUACCAGUGGCAGGAUGCAGUGGUCACUUCA